AACAGCAACCGAGUCCCCGUCGCUGUGUUUGUCUUCAUCACCGGAACUCCGUUUUCGCAAAAUGAUGAAAAAAAAACAGGUUAACAAAUCUAACGACGGGCCAAUUCCAAACUUCAGUAUUGGACUUACGCAAUUAGAGCAGGAGCAAGCAUCUGAUGACG